AGUGAACGCUGGCGGUAGGCCUAACACAUGCAAGUCGAACGGCAGCACAGUAAGAGCUUGCUCUUACGGGUGGCGAGUGGCGGACGGGUGAGGAAUACAUCGGAAUCUACUUUUUCGUGGGGGAUAACGUAGGGAAACUUACGCUAAUACCGCAUACGACCUACGGGUGAAAGCAGGGGAUCUUCGGACCUUGCGCGAUUGAAUGAGCCGAUGUCGGAUUAGCUAGUUGGCGGGGUAAAGGCCCACCAAGGCGACGAUCCGUAGCUGGUCUGAGAGGAUGAUGAGCCACACUGGAACUGAGAAACGGUCCAGACUCCUACGGGAGGCAGCAGAGGGGAAUAUUGGAAAAUGGGCGCAAGCCUGAUCCAGACAUACCGCGUGGGUGAAGAAGGCCUUCGGGUUGUAAAGCCCUUUUGUUGGGAAAGAAAAGCAGCAGGUUAAUACCCCGCUGUUCUGACGGUACCCAAAGAAUAAGCACCGGCUAACUUCGUG
rnacentral:rRNA from 1 species